AGACCGGUCUACUGGUCGUGCUUUUGUACGUACUGGUAUAAUCGGUUUCUCUCUUCUGACGAACUAUAAUGCCAUUAAUUUGGUGUUUUAGGGAAUCAGGACUGUUACUUUGAAAAAAUUAGAGUGUUUAAAGCAGGCUCACGCUUGAAUACAUUAGCAUGGAAUAACGAAAUAGGACGUUUGAUUCUAUUUUGUUGGUUUCUAGGAUCGAUGUAAUGAUUAAUAGGGAUAGUUGGG
rnacentral:rRNA from 1 species